rnacentral:tRNA from 1 species
GCUGUAGUGGUCCAGUGGUAGAAUUCUCACCUUCCAUGUGAGAGGCCCAGGUUCAAUUCCCAGCCAAUGCC